UACAGAGGGUGCGAGCGUUAAUCGGAAUUACUGGGCGUAAAGCGCGCGUAGGCGGCUUUGCAAGUCGGGUGUGAAACCUCCAGGCUCAACCUGGAGACGCCACUCGAUACUGCUAUGGCUAGAGUCCGGUAGGGGACCACGGAAUUCCUGGUGUAGCGGUGAAAUGCGCAGAUAUCAGGAGGAACACCGGUGGCGAAGGCGGUGGUCUGGGCCGGCACUGACGCUGGAGGAGCGAAAGCGUGGGUAGCAAACAGG
rnacentral:rRNA from 1 species